rnacentral:misc_RNA from 1 species
UCGUACUACAGAGGUGCUCAGGUUGUCGCUGACCUUUUUGGUCGUGCACGCCCGAGUGCUCUCAAUCCAUUUCACCCUUUGUGCAUCACCGCGCGGGGUCUCUUCCUCUUGGCUUGCUUCAAGAGGGGGUGCUCACGUUUUUAACAUUAAACACCCCAUUCGAACGUAUCGUAGAAUGUUCUUUGCGCGAUCAUGCGCGAUCAAUA